CAUGCAUUUUCCAGUAGUGGCUCUGUAGUAAUGACCAAAAUAUAUUCAAAAUACAUAUUAAGAACAGUGUGCACACAAUAUGGCCAUAUUGUGUUAAGUCCAGCACUGUGUCUCAGUACCCCAAGUACCAGGAUUGGUGGCCCACUGGCUUAUUAUUGCCUAGAAAACUUGCCAGAGUGCAGGAAAUCAAACUCAUUGCCUGCCUACCUUGGAAAACAAAAAUAUAAACAUUCCAUCAACACAGCUCCCUCAACAUAAUACUUUGCCAACUACAGAAUUUUAUGAAUAUAUCAGACAUCAGGAGGGUAAUGAAUUUCACACUGUAUUACAAAGUAGCAGUAAUAAGGAAAGCCAUGACCAAUUCCUAAGACACACAAACAAUCCAAGUUAAAUGACCUGUCCCAACUGUAUUCCAAUGUGUAAAUGGACAAAACCAGGACUGAUGAUGUACCUUGUGCAUGGGGUUGGAAACCGUUGGCAAAGAUCAUGUGAGUCAGGCUCCAGGAAACCUGGAAUGUUAUUCAUUACGCUGUGUGAUUUGCAAAAUUUAAGUCAAAAUAACUAGGAAGAAGCAAUAAAUGUCUGUAUUGUAUACAUGAUAUACUUGAAAUUAGAUUUGUUCUUCUGGCCAAAUACAUGUGUGAAUAAAUUAAUUGAUCGGCUACUAUCUAGCAACAAAGCGAACAUUUAUUAAAAUGUGUCUUGAUGAAUUUAUUCUUUAACAGGGUUAUUCACCAAGGACCGAGCAGUCUGGAUUAGCAAUUUUUUUCUUAAAUUUCUAAUAAAUGAGCUCAUCUCAUAGGUAUCAUUGGUACCAUCCAGUGUCGAUCCAUUUAACGAUCUGUUAAGCUCACUUGUGAAUCUUGUAUAAAAUACAGUGGAACCUCGGAACGCGAACGUUCCCGUUCACG